rnacentral:rRNA from 1 species
AGUAACUUAGCGGCGGACGGGUGAGUAACACGUAGGUAACCUGCCUAUGAGACUGGGAUAACAUUCGGAAACGAAUGCUAAUACCGGAUACGCAGCUUGGUCGCAUGACCGGGCUGGGAAAGACGGAGCAAUCUGUCACUUAUAGAUGGACCUGCGGCGCAUUAGCUAGUUGGUGAGGUAACGGCUCACCAAGGCGACGAUGCGUAGCCGACCUGAGAGGGUGAUCGGCCACACUGGGACUGAGACACGGCCCAGACUCCUACGGGAGGCAGCAGUAGGGAAUCUUCCGCAAUGGACGAAAGUCUGACGGAGCAACGCCGCGUGAGUGAUGAAGGUUUUCGGAUCGUAAAGCUCUGUUGCCAGGGAAGAACGCUUGGGAGAGUAACUGCUCUCAAGGUGACGGUACCUGAGAAGAAAGCCCCGGCUAACUACGUGCCAGCAGCCGCGGUAAUACGUAGGGGGCAAGCGUUGUCCGGAAUUAUUGGGCGUAAAGCGCGCGCAGGCGGCUAAUUAAGUCUGGUGUUUAACCUUGGGGCUCAACCCCGAGUCGCACUGGAAACUGGUUGGCUUGAGUGCAGAAGAGGAAAGUGGAAUUCCACGUGUAGCGGUGAAAUGCGUAUAGAUGUGGAGGAACACCAGUGGCGAAGGCGACUUUCUGGGCUGUAACUGACGCUGAGGCGCGAAAGCGUG